rnacentral:lncRNA from 1 species
GUAUCUGACUCAGGACCUGAUUUAAGGUUUGGGGUUUUUUGGCCCUUUGUUUCUUCCUCUUGUUUUUUGACCUUUAGUUACUCCACACCUCAUUAGUUCCUUGACCUGCAGGUGGACUGAGAAGAGAGCCAUGGUAGCAGGCAAGAGUGUGGUUAUCGUUGGACCAGGAUUCAGGAUCUGACUGAGUAGCUGACUCUUAAUCCAGUUUGUGUUGAUCACCAGGAGGAUCUGGACCUCAGUAUUACCACAUCUAGAGCUAUAAUCACAUCCCUGUUAAGCCUUCCUGAGAUCACACCAAAUGUCCUUGAUGGGAAUUGUAAACAACCCUUACUUCUGGUUUCUAAUGAUAUUCCAGGAAAGGAGCCUAACUAGAGUCAGUGAUAUGCCAACUCCACCUUUGCCUUCCACCAUGUUUGGAAGCUCCCUGAGGCCUCACCAGGAGCAGAUGCUCGUCCCAUGCUUCCUAUAAGCCUGCAGAACUGGAAAAGAAAGCUGGAUAAAGUAUUUAUAGAAGAUAGAGGACCUGUGGUGGCUCAUGCCUGUAAUCCAAGGUGGAAGGAUUGCUUGAGGCCAGAAGUUCAAGACCAGUCCAAGCAACAUAGCAAGGCCCCAUCUCUACAAAAAAUGAAAAUAAAAUUAGCCGAGCGUGAUGGCUCAUGCCUGUAGUUCUAGCUUCUAGAGAGGCUGAGGCAGGAGGAUUGCUUGAGUCCAGGAGUUCAAGAUUACAGUGAGCUAUGGUCACACCACUGCACUCCAGCCUGGGUGAUGGAGUGAGACUGUCUCAAUAAAAAGACAAAAAGGCUGGCCAGGGGCAGUGGUUCAUGCCUGUAAACCCAGCACUUUGGGAGGCAAAGGCAGGAGGAUUGCUUAAGCCCAGGAAUUUGAGAUCAGCCUGGACAACAUGGUGAGACCCCCAUCUCUACAAAAAUUUUUUUUAAAAGUUACCCAGGCAUGGUGUUGCACAUCUGUGUUCCCAGCUACUGGGGAGGCUGAGACGGGAGGAUCACUUGAGUCCAGGAAGUUGAGAGGUUGAGGCUGCUGUGAGCUGUGAUUGUGCCACUGCACUUUAGCCUGGACAACAGAGGGAGACCCUGUCAACAACAACAACAACAACAAAAAAGCAAAACAUCAUAGGCUGCAGAAAUAAACUUUCUUGUCAAUUGUGUCUUUAACCAUGACCAUUUUGAGUCAUUUCCACAGUGAGUUGCCUAAUUUUGAUGCAUUUCUGAAAACUCUUUAUAAGCAAGUAAAAUCCUAGAGAAUUGUGCCUUCAAGGAGACUCAUGGAAAGGAUGGAAAGAACUCUUGAAUACAUGUUUCUGAUAGCUUUAUGAUCAUAUCAUUUGGACUGGGUAAGAAUUCCCAGAACUCAUGAAGAGACUGACUAUUUAUUAAUCCAAGCAGGAAAAGAAUUAAUUGAAUACCAAGGAAAUACUGUGCCAGAGAUUUUCAUGCUAAAUCAGUCAGCACCGAAAUCGUUAAGAUGUGUAGUUUGAAUGAACUCCAUGAUCCUAGUCAAAUUUCCUAUGAUGACCCAUUUAAUAAACAGUGCUAUGCACCUGAAUUGGAGAAACAGAAUUGAUACUUAAAUCCAAUGUUAAUCAUAGAUUCAUGGAAAGCCUAAAUGGCUGCUUGGGUCUUCCUGAGCCCUUAAAGCUUCCAUUAUUAAAGGCUCUGCACUUUAUAAGUUAUCACUGAAGAGAGAAAAUGAUCCAGAUUUAAAAUACACAUAUUGGUGUGGUGAAUGUUCUAAAUUGCGAAAAUGGUUUAUGACCAACAUUUGGUUUGUCAUGCUCACAAUCCUGGAAAUACAUUCAAAACUUCAGGUACAUUUCUGCUACCUGAUGGGCUAUUUGAAUAUAUAGAGAGGGAUUUCAUUCAAUUGCCAUUUUCAUUGCAUGUUUUUUGGUUGUAUAGAAGCUUUCCCAUGCAAGGAGGCUGAUGCUGUUAUUACAGUAGCUAAAAGGUUAGUAGGAAAUGUGUUUUCCCCCAUGGGGCAUUCCUGGAGAAAUCUCUAGCAAUAAAGGUACUUGUUUGACUGGACAAGUUGUAAAACAGUUUAAUAAGGUUUUUUUUAGGUGUCAUAGCAUUAGGCAAAGCUAACUGAAUUGACUGGAUUGUCAUAGUCAAACAUAUUGCAGAUCCGCUUCCAAUAGAAGACAAUGAAAUAGUCACUGGAAAGCCUGUGCUCCUAAUUUUAGAACCUCAUGUAUCUUCUGCUCCUAAACUCUGAUAGGACUAAAUGCUGUGAGGCCUCAAUGCAUUAUGUUAAUGUGUAUUUUCACCAGGUCAAGGAAGCUUUUCCUGAUCCACUAACUAAGGACAAUCAAACCCUUCAUGAUCUAGAAUCUGGAGACUGUGUCUUCUGGGAAUAGUAUCAGAGAAAGACUGCCCUUACUGCCCACAUGUAGCAAAACUUUGAGACGUUGAAUUAUGGGUCCAUAAUCUCACAACUCAGAGGGGCACCUCUAGACUCUUGGAACUGUAUAUCUAUUGGAGACUUUAAGGUAAAGCUGAACAGAGAGACGUUUUUCUCCAGAAGCAGACAGCACCAUAGUCAUGGACAGCUUUCCCAAGAUCACAGAUCAAGACUUCUCUGCCGUCAUGAGACUCAUAACCUCUUAAUUUUUUCUUGCUUAUGCUUCUGUGAACAAUAGAAUUGGAAAAGGGGUGGUCCCGCGUGCACCCAUAGGGUAUACUUUUAUUUGUGGAGGAUUUUGCUGCCAACCUUAUACAUGGGCAAACUUAUGCCUUCAUGGAUGGAAGAUAAAGGGCUAAUAUGGGUUAGAAAUUUUAAUGGUACCUUUGUUUCUCCAUAAUCAUUCAGAAACAGAACACUGGUCCACUCUUGUUAACCUACAUCAUAGGUUGAAGAGAACAUUGCCAGGAGGCCUUCAUCCUUCCAGAUGGGCACCAUUUGUUGGGUCUUUUUCCGUGGUAUGAAGAAAAUGAAGCAAUGAUUAGAAAUUGGUCCCUCGGCCGGGCACAAUGGCUCAUGCCUGUAAUCCCAUCACUUUGGCAGGCCGAGGCGGGUGGAUCACCUGAGGUCAGGAGUUUGAGACCAGCCUGACCAAUGUGGUGAAACGCCAUCUCUACUAAAAAUACAAAAAUUAGCUGGGUGUGAUGGUGCACACCUGUAAUCCAGCUACUCGGGAGGCUGAGACAGGAGAAUUGCUUGAACCUGGGAGGCAGAGGUUGCAGUGAGCCAAGAUCACCCCACUGCAUUCCAGGUUGGGCAACAGAGCAAGACUCUGUCUCAAAAAAAAAAGAAGAAAGAAAGAAAUUGAUCCCUCAUAAUAGGCUGUAUAGCAGAUUCUACUGCAAAGGCUAUGGUUGCACAACAGACUUCUUUGAAUUUGCUUGCUAAACUUUUACUGGAUAAUACUGGGAUUACAGGUGUGAGCCACUGUGCCCAGCCUCUCCUGUUUAACUGUAUUCAUUCUAAUGUUUACUUACUUCUUUAAUUUGUAAAAUUGGGUCACUUAGAGUUUUUUUAGCCUAUCUUGCCAUUUAGCCACUGUUACUGAUAAUUUGGAUGGAAAAGAAAAAUAAAUUAUAUCACCUCUCA